rnacentral:rRNA from 1 species
UUGAACGCUGGCGGCAGGCCUAACACAUGCAAGUCGAGCGGAUGAAGGGAGCUUGCUCCUGGAUUCAGCGGCGGACGGGUGGGUAAUGCCUAGGAAUCUGCCUGGUAGUGGGGGAUAACGUCCGGAAACGGGCGCUAAUACCGCAUACGUCCUGAGGGAGAAAGUGGGGGAUCUUCGGACCUCACGCUAUCAGAUGAGCCUAGGUCGGAUUAGCUAGUUGGUGGGGUAAAGGCCUACCAAGGCGACGAUCCGUAACUG